UUUUCGUUUGCCGACUUUAAAUUUGAAUCACUCACGAAUCGCGAUUACUUGAAAUUUGAACAAAAAAUACAGACUACAAAACGGUCGUACAGAGUUCUACUCAUACAUUUUAAUAUAAAAUCACCAUGGAUAAGUGUAUUCAUUUUAGUAAAACAUCCAAAGUAUCGCCUCGCCACAUUACGUGCAAUUUCAUUUAUUUCCAAAAAUCAAUGAAAUAGAAGGAAAUAAUGGCUAAAAAUGUUCGAAUUAAAUGAUUAUCCCAAUUUCUACCUGGCAUAGAAUCUGCGGUAAUCAUUUCACAAUAAUUAGUGGUUGCAAACAACGCUCAGUAAAUUAGUAAACAUGGUCAGAGGUUGUCUCAAAACAUAAUCCAAACCACUUGUCUGGGAUAGAGAAGUAAAAUAAAUGUUAGUGAUUCACGGCAACAUUGGUACUACUGUGAGCACGACUAGUAAAUCGCAUCUAAGAGAAAAUUUUUUUUCUCCAACGAUGAGUUAGAUGUACAUGAACAGAUGAGUAAAGGAUUUGAAGGCCAUGAUUUUAAUUCACCCAGAAAAGCCUUAGAUAACCAAUAAUGUCUAAUUCACACACACUUAUUUCACACAGUGGAUUAUACUUUUUAUGAUUUUCAAAACUGAAAUAUAUAAUGUACCACAUACACGGAACUGGGAAGUGGGGUCAAUGUAUUGACAAAUUUUCAGAAGUUGACUUUCUUGGAGAUAAUUCUACCGACCCAGAUGAAGUCAUACAAUGUUGGAGAGAGUUAUGAAACCUAAAGGUUGUCAAACCCGUUCCCAUUUGCAACGAGGAAAGACAAACUUCUUUGAAAGAGGUUUAUGCAAUUACCAUAAAGCUUCAAUGGCUGUUAUUAAAAUUCUUCAACUAUCGACAAUGGACAUAAUUGAUGAAGACUUUUAAACUAGGUAUAUUCUGAUAGGUACCUAUUUCCUUUAUUUGUGUACAUAUUUUACCUAUGUUUCCCACCACCACCCAUCAGAAAGUAAUUAGUUACUUUAUUUAACCAAAAAAAACUAUAUCUACACACUGUGGAGUUAUGUCUGUGAAUAAAAUUAUUUUGUCAAUGACUAAUUUAAGAAAACUUUAUUUUUAAAUUUUAUAAUAAAAAAGAAAAGUAGGUGCCUAUUUAAAAUCAUUAUGAACUAUACCAUCAUGCUUUUCAUAUUUGUCGUAUCGAUAGUUUAUGUGUAUUUUAAAAUUUAAAAAUAUAUGACUAAUGUACUAA